AUACAUUUUGCUGUGCUGUUGUUCUGUGUUUGUGAACAGCAGUCGUCGGCUUAUAGUUGCAAUGUAUAUGCAACUGCUGCCAAUGGAAUGUUGUCCUUCAUGAUAAAUCGAUCGAAUAUAAAAUUUGUGUGUAAUUGUGAAAGUGUGCGUUUCUUUGAAUAUUCGAUCAUCGUGUUUGAUCAAAUGCGUACAACAUUUUGGAGAUUGUGUCGACGUUGCAGUGUGUGAUAUCCAAUUUGUGCAACGCUGUCGCUUUUGUUGAAUUCUCAAUUGAAAACCGGUGAGCGUAAUAAAGGUGCAUUUGUUGUCGUUGCAAAUGGCUUUAUCAACAGCAUUUUGUGUUGUUUCUCAACAAACACGUGUGUGUUGUAAUGCAACCAGUAAUCGUUGCGUUGUGUGUAAUUGUGUUCUGAAUAUCAGAAUUUUAAAUGAUCAGUGUUGAUGUGCUGUUGAUUUUGUCAGUGUAGGCAGUGACAAUAAUAUCAAAUUCCUUUAUAUUAUUACACGGUUUCAUUGCAAUGUUGUUGCUCUGUGAAACGUUUGUUUUGUAGUGUCAUUCCGUCGGAUAAUAAUUGGAAGACGUGUGAUGAGAACGUGACAGUUGGCAAUGUACCGUGUAUUGUGGUGUUAGGCGCUCGGAUGUGCGCGGUUAAUGUUGAGUGAUUUCUCAAAUGUCGACCUCAGAUCAGACGAGAUCACCCGCUAAAUUUAAGCAUAUCAAUAAGCGGUGGAAAAGAAACGAAAACGAAUUCUCCGAGUAGCGGCGAGCGAAACGAGAGUAGUCCAUACACCGAAGUCGGCGAGCAGUUGUGUUCGUCAACAGUGUGGUGUUAAAGGUGUCGUUGCAUGUGCUGAAAUCAGUUCGUAGGCUCCCUUGAUUGGGGCUUCAGAGCGGGUGCAGGACCCAUAACGAACGAUGUUUUGUGCAUGGUGUCGCGGCUCCUAAUCGAGUCGGGUUGCUUGAGACUGCAGCCCAAAGCGGGUGGUAAAUCUCACCCAAGACUAAAUAUUCGUACGAGACCGAUAGCGAACAAGUACCGCGAGGGAAAGUUGAAAAGAACUCUGAAGAGAGAGUUCAACAGGACGUGAAACCGUUGACAGGCAAACGGAUGGAGCUGACGGUGCAAUUUUGACCAAAAUCAGUCGUCGCUGUGUUCGUUGGCGAAUGAAUCUUUUUUGCAAACUUGUUUGCGCAGAUUAUCUUUCGUUUCGAAUGUACGCACGGUGCACUUUUGGUCGAUCAGCGUCACGAGCAACGUUCGCAUUUUUUGCUGCCGACAGUAAUUGUGUUUGUUGUUUUAAAAGCAACAAACAAUAAAGGCGGUUUGUGGAAGAGGUAAUUGUGGUAAAGACUUGUGCUUGUCUCAAUUGCCGUGCCAAUGCCGCAUCUCUCGGAUGAAUGUUGUUGUUGACAAGAUGAAGAGCAUUGUUCUGCGUACAAUUGUAAUGGGUCUGUUGGUGCCGUUGCGUUCGUGGGUUUCGGCUCACGAUUUGUCUGGUACGUCGGGAAAAAAGUCAAUUAUGAAUGUAAUUGAUCUGACUACCGUGCGUAGCGGUAUUCAAAUGUGUGUUUGAUGGACUUUAUUUGCAAUCGGCGCUCAAUGUGUUUUCUUUUAUCGGUGGCGUCAAUGUUAGCCUCCCAUCCGACCCGUCUUGAAACACGGACCAAGGAGUUCAGUAGGCACGCGAGUCGUUGACGUUUUCCAUUGAACAGUCGAAGGCGAAAUGAAAGUGUUCAUGAAAAUGAACAGUACUUUUUUAUGGAGUGCUGUUCGCUUUCAACAUGAUCGUCCUUGUUUGUGCUUAAUUGUGCAAAAUUGAUGUAUGGGGACGCGCAGUGUGGUGCCGUUGAAUAGUCGCACUGUUCUUUCUUUCUCUUCGGGGUUGGAGGAACAAUUGUCGAUCAGUCGGUUUCGGAGCGUGCACACUGGUACCCGAAAGAUGGUGAACUAUGCUUGAGCAGAAUGAAGCCAGAGGAAACUCUGGUGGAAGUUCGUAGCGGUGUUGACGUGCAAAUCACUCGUCUGACUUGAGUGUAGGGGCGAAAGACUAAUCGAACCAUCUAGUUGCUGGUUCCUUCCGAAGUUUCCCUCAGGAUAGCUGGCAUUUGUUUGUAACAAUUUUAUCCGGUAGAGCGAAUGAUUAGAGGUGUUGGGAACGCAAUGUUCUCAGCCUAUUCUCAAACUUCGAAUGGGUAAGCAAGGCGUUUUGCUUUGAUUUUACGAUGAAAUCGCCCAAUUAGAAUGUAUAAAUGCCUAGUGGGCCAAUUUUGGUAAGCAGAACUGGCGAUGUGGAAUGAACCAAAAGUCAGGUUAAGGUGCCAGACAUUGGCGCUCAUGAAAUACCAGAAAAGGUGUUGGUCGAUAUAGACAGCAGGACGGUGGCCAUGGAAGUUGGAAUCCGCCAAGGAGUGUGUAACAACUCACCUGCCGAAUCGACUAGCCCUGAAAAUGGAUAGCGUUUGAGCGCCAGGCCCAUACCUGACCGUCUCAAUUACGCACUUUUUUUUCGGAAAAGGUGUAAUGAACGUUGAGACGGGUAGGAAGGUCGCGACAGUGUUGCUUUGAAGAGUUUUGAGCGUGAGCUCGCUCGGAGCCGCUGUUGGUGCAGAUCUUGGUGGUAGUAGCAAAUAUUCAAGUGAGAACCUUGAAGGCUGAAGUGGAGCAAGGUUCCAUGUGAACAGCAGUUGGACAUGGGUCAGUCGAUCCUAAGAAAACGGCGAAAGCUUGUUCGAAUUUGCGACAUGAAUUGUAAGACUGUGUGAAUUGUGUGUGUGUGCAGUUGUCGUAUGUUUUCGAAAGGGAAUCCGGUUGAUAUUCCGGAACCGAGUAACGGAGACAAAGAGUAGCGCUUUAAUCUCUCUGUGGGGUUGGCGUUCAACUCAAUCGCGCGGUAACGCAAGCGAACUCGGAAAAUGACCGUCGUGAGUUUCGAAAAGAGUUUUCUUUUCUUUUUAAGGGACGCAUUCCCUGGAACCGGGUUGUCCGGAGAUAGGGAUUCUGGUAUCCAUAAAACGCCGACUUUUUCACGGUGUUCGGAGCGCUCUCGUCGGUACGUGAAAAUCCGAGCGACGCCUGGUAAAUCUCGUACUUGGUCGUACUGAUAUCCGCAGCAGGUCUCCAAGGUGAAUAGCCUCUGGCCGAUAGAAUAAUGUAGGUAAGGGAAGUCGGCAAAACGGAUCCGUAACUUCGGAACAAGGAUUGGCUCUAAGGGCUGGGCCGAUCGGGCUGAGGUUUCAAGCGUGCAGUGUAUGCUUGGCUGAGUUGUGUUGAGGACUUGUUCACUUGCCGCCGUUUGUUCGGUUGGUCUAGUGUAUUCGAGUCUGAAGCAGAGCUGGCCGACAGACCGGCACGUGCAGAACCUGAGCUGCGCGGCUGUCCGUUUACGUGUACAGACCGUUUCGGUCGGCAUUCAACAGCCAACUUAGAACUGGCACGGACACAAGGAAUCUGACUGUAUAAUUAAAACAAAGCAUUGCGAUGGCCGAUGAUCGGUGAUGACGCAAUGUGAUUUCUGCCCAGUGCUCUGAAUGUCAAAGUGAAGAAAUUCAAUCAAGCGCGGGUAAACGGCGGGAGUAACUAUGACUCUCUUAACCUGAUUUCGUCCGUGCGGCGGCGUUUUCUUUUCGCUCUCCGCUCGUCGAAAUUUGCUGUAGUUGAAUCGCUUUUUCUUUGCGUUUUCUUCUACUUUCGCAGUUUUCUGCACUGCCACGAUGUCAAACCGCCUUGCCAAUACUGAUGCGGCUGGUGGGGUUCCAGAGAAAAACUCGGGAGCUUUAGACAUUCCUGGCCAACCCUCUUCAUCCGGUGAAAAGCGUGCGAUCUCUUACCCUGGU
rnacentral:ncRNA from 1 species